rnacentral:rRNA from 1 species
AGUGAACGCUGGCGGUAGGCCUAACACAUGCAAGUCGAACGGCAGCACAGUAAGAGCUUGCUCUUACGGGUGGCGAGUGGCGGACGGGUGAGGAAUACAUCGGAAUCUACUUUUUCGUGGGGGAUAACGUAGGGAAACUUACGCUAAUACCGCAUACGACCUACGGGUGAAAGCAGGGGAUCUUCGGACCUUGCGCGAUUGAAUGAGCCGAUGUCGGAUUAGCUAGUUGGCGGGGUAAAGGCCCACCAAGGCGACGAUCCGUAGCUGGUCUGAGAGGAUGUUCAGCCACACUGGGACUGAGACACGGUCCAGACUCCUACGGGAGGCAGCAGUGGGGAAUGUUGGACGAUGGGCGCAAGCCUGAUCCAGCCAUACCGCGUGGGUGAAGAAGGCCUUCGGGUUGUAAAGCCCUUUUGUUGGGAAAGAAAAGCAGCAGGUUAAUACCCCGCUGUUCUGACGGUACCCAAAGAAUAAGCACCGGCUAACUUCGUG